UCUCCGUUGGUGAACCAGCGGAGGGAUUAUUACCGAGUGCAAACUCAUAACCCUUUGUGAACCUACAUCUGUUGCUUCGGCGGUUCGCUCUCGGGCGAGCCCGCCGGUAAUAUCAGUAUCUCUGUUUGAACCCGACGAUACUUCUGAGUGUUCUUAGCGAACAGUUAAAACUUUUAACAACGGAUCUCUUGGCUCUA
rnacentral:misc_RNA from 1 species